GACAAACAGAUCAAAUUAAGAUUAAUGAUAGUAAAAAAGGAGGUUAUAUAGAUUAUUUCGAAAAAUAAUGCUUUUUAGGGAGGUGGAAUUUAGAUAAAAAGAGGUAAUUUAGGUUUUUCUUUUUUUUGGGGCCUCGAAAUUUUGUUAUGAGACCGGGAUUAGAUACCCCGUUAUUCAAAAUGUAAACUUUGAUUGUAUUUAUAAUUUACUUGAGUAUUACGAGUAUAUAAGGGUUUUCUUUAUUAUAUCACUUAAAACUCAAAGAACUUGGCGGUGCCUUAUAUCCUUUCAGGGGAACCUGUCCUGUAAUCGAUAGUCCACGAUUUAACUUACUUUUUUUUGAAUUUUAUCAGCUUGUAUACCGUCGUCGUCAGGUUACCUUUAAGAGUUAUGGAGUUAUCGGAGAGAAUAAGGAGAGAAUUAAAUUUUAUUAUUAGUUAUAUAAAUUGAGAUUGAUUUUUGUAGUGAUUCUAGACGUCAGAUCAAGGUGCAGCCUAUAAGGGAGUAGAGAUGGGUUACAAUAAUAAGUUGUUAUAUGGAUUUUUGUUGUAAGUAGCAAAAUUGAAGGAGGACUUGGAAGUAAUUANUUUAAAGAUAAGAGAGCUUAAAUGAAAAUAGGCUCUGAGGUGCGC
rnacentral:rRNA from 1 species